GCUCGGGGCCGGCGGGGGCGCGAGGGGGCCGCGGCCGCAGCCGAAGUUGGGCCGAGAGCCGGCCACGGCCCCGUGCCGGGGUCGCAGGGUGCCAGGCUGUGCAGAGUUCCUCGGACAGACUUCUGGAUGUCGCCAAGCUGAGGGCAGCCCUGGGCAGGCACGGGUGUUGUGGCCAGACCCUCGGCCAUUCUCACUGGAGCCUCCAGGGCCAGCCUCCUGAGGGGCAUCUCUGGGAACUUUCUUAAGGAAGAGAGUGACAGACUUGGCUUUUCUGUGCAUUCCUGUCCCUUCAGCGAGGCCACUAAGGGAGUCAGGAUGCCGAGGACCAUUUGUGGUGUCCAGCGACCUGCACCUGCCUAUCUGCCAGGCCUGCCUUGACUGCUGGGUGUUAGAACAGCCUCAAGGCCUGUGGGCGCCAGGACGCCUGGGGCAGGCCCCGUCCCCAUCCUGGGCAGCGGGGGUUGACAGCUGGAGCUGAGAGAGGCAGCUUAGUCAGGGCCUUGCCUGGACUUGGAUUUGCCUUUGGAGGGACCCUGUCCUAACAGUCAGGGUGGCGUAUUGUGUCACACCCAGGAGGCUUGGCCAGGCCAGGGGCUGCAGGUGACGGGGUGGCUGUGGGUGGUCUUGGGCUUGAGAACCAGCCGAGCUGAUUUGCUGCCAUGGGGCAACAACUUACUGUGGGCGACCCUCAGUGGACCCUGGUGUCCUCAGCCAGCCAUGGAGGGCAUUCUGCGCUGGGGGCCAGCAGGAACUCUGAGGUCAGUAGGGGCUCCAGCGUCCUCCCCCAUCACAGCCUGGCCCUGCAGAGCGACAAUGACGAUGCUGCCUCCGCCCGUACUUACACCAGGCAGGGUCCGGCCUCAGCUCAUGUGGGGAGCUGGCCUGGCCUGGCUCGGUCCUGCCCUGCCGUGGACUGGACGUCUGCGGGGAGCUGGGCCUUUCCGCACCUCCGCACAUCUCAUGUCGUCGUUUUCAAUGAGCUUAAAACUCAAGUAAACUUUUCACCAACUCAGAGGUUUGCUUAGUGAUCUGAAGCACUUUUGGGAACUUUUUGGGGGUUUGAGAUUUUGUCCACCUGGAACAGCCAGAGAGGAGGAAGGUUUUACCCCCUUGCUCACCCCAGAGAGCAGUGGCUGCCUGAGGACCCCUCCGAGGUGGAGAAGAGGGCUCACGAGCUUCCUCAGAGCCAGCAGCAGACCAGGGACAGGUGGCUUCAGAAGGAACAGGUGUUCCCUGAAAACAGACACAGGAGACCGCGGUGUGCGAGAUCUGGCAGCUCUGUGCCUGCUUCCCUUUGUCGGGUGGGGAGGCGCAUGACAGCGGGAGGGUGUAGGCUAAUGCUGCCCCAUGCCCUGUGUGUGUAGGGUGGUCCCUGGGUGGCACCUGGCUUCGACCCUGCUGGCCUGUGUGCUCAGUUUGGCAGAUGACCGCAUGCUGGGGCUCAGGGCUAGUGCCCAGAGGUACAUCCGACUCUCCUGAGCACAGGUGGGCUGUGGGUGAGGGGAGCAGGCCCCUUGGACCUGGCGGUGAUGGCCCACAGCCUCCAGCCCUCCCACCCAGGGCACGGCCCCAUCAGCCUUUGCACUCCAGGCUGCACCCCAUGUGACCCUGGGCUUGGCCGUGUCUAAGGCCAUAGUCAGGCCAGUCCAGUCCCCCAGGAACAGGCUGCUGCGAGUGGGCCAGUGGACUCGGGUGGGAGUGGAGUGUAGACAGGAGUGGGGUUGGGUUAGGGGCUCCGCAGAGCCUGGGCUGGGUUCCUCUGACACUGGGUUCAGAAGCCGCCUACUCCUGCCUGUCCUGUCUGUCCACUCCCUGUCCCUGUUCCUGUUCCAUCUCAGGCAGCAAGUACCCAGAUCUGCUUACUCCCCACAAGCUGUGCUCUUGGUGGCCUUGCCCCUUGGUGUCCUCCUUGCUCCUCAAGCUCAGAACUUCAUGUCCCCUAUGGUCUGCCCCAAAGGAAGUAGGGAACGCCAGGCCUAGCUCAGGGGCCACCCCAGGAGAAGGCUGAAUCCACCCCAAAGUUUCCAGCUCCCAAACUCAGCACAAAGACCCACAUGAUCUAGGAUGUCCCCAUUCCCUAUUCUCUAAUACCCAUGGCUGUACCCGAGCCUCGGAGCCCCCGGCUUCUGGCCAUCACAAAGUUCUCCAAUCUCAGCCACAGCCCUCGGAGCUGGGAGCCUGCGGCCCACCCCAGGACCAGGCCAGUGUUUGGACAUCGCCCUGCCCCAACUUCAAGGCUGCAGGCACGCAGCAGAGGCCUCACACCCACCUGGGGAGCAGAGGGGGGUGUUGGGAGGCAGGGUGGCCACACCCUCAUGGGGCCUACAAAGCUCCCCUGGGAAAGCUCCCUCAGCCUUGCCAACCCAGGAGUCCGGGGACCCGCCCCCGCGAACUCUCAGACUCAGUAAACUUGACAGGCGGGUCUGGCACGUCCUUGAGUCUUCAAGUCCAGGAGCCACUCCAGAGGGGGUGGCAGUUCCUGCUGCUGGGGAGGAAGAGACCAGGCAGGAGAGGGGUCUGGACAGAAACCCAGGCCAGGGCUGAGGCACCUUCAGGCCCCAGAUCCUCCAACUCCAACCCCAGGCUCGGGCUGCCAAGGAGAGCCCUAGGGUGGGUGUGCACAGCAGCCUGAAAUGUGAGGCCCCGAGAGCCCCAGCCCUGGACCCAAGUGACUGCCGGCCCCUGGGAGACCCCCUUCUCAGAAGCCCUGGCUGUGGUCAGCUCUGGAUAUUCUCCCGUGACUCUGGGUGGAGCCUCAAGGUCUAGACCCCACAGACCCCGCCCAGUGCAACCUCAGGACACACUUAAGCCACUUUGAGCAAUUUAUUGAGGUUUCAGUGGUGGGGUAGGGGAGGCAGCACACACACAUACACAGUGAAGGAUACCUCCCACGUGCAAGCACACACUCAGGGGUUGAACACA